UCCCUGGUGGUCCAGUGGUUAAGACUCCGCACUUCCACUGCAGGGGGCAUGGGUUCAAUCCCUGGUCUGGGAA
rnacentral:tRNA from 1 species